rnacentral:rRNA from 1 species
UACAGAGGGGCCGAGCGUUAGGCGGAAUCACUGGGCUUAAAGCGUGUGUAGGCGGAUGCCUAAGUACCUUGUGAAAUCCCACGGCUUAACCGUGGAACUGCUCGGUAUACUGGGUGUCUUGAGCCACUUAGGGGCGACCGGAACAAACGGUGGAGCGGUGAAAUGCGUAGAUAUCGUUUGGAACGCCAAUGGUGAAAACAGGUCGCUGGGAGUGUGCUGACGCUGAGACACGAAAGCCAGGGGAGCGAACGGG